rnacentral:lncRNA from 1 species
UAGCUGGAUGACUUCCCUUCAUCUAUCAAUGACCAACUCAAAUGUCAUAAUAACUUCUGAUUCCAACCCAAGCUAGUUGCUCUAUUUGUGCCCCCCAAAAAACUAUGCAUACCUCCAUGAGAGUAUUUAUCACAUUUCAUUGAUUCAUUCAACAAAUAUUAGUGGGGUGCCUUCCAUGUAGGAGGCACAGUAUUCUUUAAAAAUGUGUCCAUCUUUUUCUAAGGCAAGACUGAGAACUCUUUCAGGGGUCAAGUCUUAUUUAUUUUUGUACCUCUCAGAACUCUGCACAAAGUUUGACUCUGCUUCACCAACUCUCAUUUACCCAUCAAGAUUCACUGUGAAUAUGGUAUUCUCUAGAAAAGUUUAUAUAGCUUGUUAGGGAUCCCUACAAUUUCUGAUAAACUUCUAAAUUAUUACCUGCAAAUAGGUGUGUGUUGAUUCACUUGCAUUUUUGUCUGUGGCACCAGCUGCAAGCACCUGUUACGUUUGAAUCUGUAGCACCUAACAGAGGAGCUGGCACAGGAAGCUUCAAUGAAUGGGUGUGGACUUCCUGGUGGUGAAUUCAGGGUCUUAGUGCCUCCAUUCUCCGUGGAGAAAGAUCAAAUCUGGUUGGAUGGCUCCCUUCAUCAGCUUGAUCCCUAGUCCCCCUUAGUCAUUUUAAGAUGCCAUGGUGAGAUGCCUCACUUUCUGAAGUUGGAGAGGCUAAACCAACUGCUGAGUGUUUCUGCUGUGCUGGUAGCACUUCGGGUAAAACAGUGUAAAUAAUAUCACUGAAGGCAGCCUCCUUUCAUCUGCAGAUUAACUGGGCAAUGUUCAUCACCUUCUUAGCCAGGAAAAGCUUUUAUCAGGCUCAGCUAACAGCUUGCAUUAGCCUCUUACAAGGACUUGCCACAUUGCCUUUAAACUGACAUGCUGCAGAGUCAGCCCCGCAGGUGGAGGGGUGUGAUGAAAAGCACAAACAACACCCAGGUUGAAGUGACUGGCCUAGGAAAUUUGUUCCUGUGCAGAAGAGUGAAGAGUCAGCCGAAUGAAGCAAUGAAUGCAAUCAUUUUGUGGACUAAUGGAGGUUGGGUCUGUAAUCUAAAAUCACCCAGCAUUCACCAGCAACCUGAGUCAGAUUUUGAGCAAUAGGGCCUCCCCUGGGAAACAAGGAUGGUGGGCUCUCCCCCAGA